rnacentral:rRNA from 1 species
UAAAUUGAGAGUUUGAUCCUGGCUCAGGAUGAACGCUGGCGGCGUGCUUAACACAUGCAAGUCGAGCGAUGAAGUUUC